AGCAGCCGCGGUAAUUCCAGCUCCAAUAGCGUAUAUUAAAGUUGUUGCAGUUAAAAAGCUCGUAGUUGAAUUUCGGGAUUGACACAUCGGUCGUGCCUUAAGGGGUAUGAACUGGUGUAGUCAAUUUCUCACCUUCUGGAGAACCGCGAUGCCCUUAAUUGGGUGUCACGGGGAACCAGGACCUUUACUUUGAAAAAUUAGAGUGUUUAAAGCAGGCAUUUUGCUUGAAUACAUUAGCAUGGAAUAAUAAAAUAGGACGGCAUGAUUCUAUUUUGUUGGUUUCUAGGAUCACCGUAAUGAUUAAUAGGGAUAGUUGGGGGCAUUAGUAUUCAAUUGUCAGAGGUGAAAUUCUUGGAUUUAUUGAAGACUAACUACUGCGAAAGCAUUUGCCAAGGAU
rnacentral:rRNA from 2 species